rnacentral:rRNA from 1 species
GACGAACGCUGGCGGCGUGCUUAACACAUGCAAGUCGAACGGAAAGGCCCUGCUUUUGUGGGGUGCUCGAGUGGCGAACGGGUGAGUAACACGUGAGUAACCUGCCCUUGACUUUGGGAUAACUUCAGGAAACUGGGGCUAAUACCGGAUAGGAGCUCCUGCUGCAUGGUGGGGGUUGGAAAGUUUCGGCGGUUGGGGAUGGACUCGCGGCUUAUCAGCUUGUUGGUGGGGUAGUGGCUUACCAAGGCUUUGACGGGUAGCCGGCCUGAGAGGGUGACCGGCCACAUGGGGACUGAGAUACGGCCCAGACUCCUACGGGGGGCAGCAGUGGGGAAUAUUGCACAAUGGGCGGAAGCCUGAUGCAGCAACGCCGCGUGCGGGAUGACGGCCUUCGGGUUGUAAACCGCUUUCGCCUGUGACGAAGCGUGAGUGACGGUAAUGGGUAAAGAAGCACCGGCUAACUACG